rnacentral:tRNA from 1 species
AAGGAAUUAGCUGAGUGGUUUUAGCGUUGAUUUUACACAUCAAAGAGAAGGUUUCGAUUACCUUAUUCCUUA